UACGUAGGGGGCAAGCGUUGUCCGGAAUUACUGGGCGUAAAGGGUGCUUAGGUGGCUUGGAAAGUCAGUGGUGAAAUCUGAGAGCUUAACUGUCAAACUGCCAUUGAUACUUCUUAGCUUGAGUACGGAAGAGGCUGAUGGAAUUUCAGGUGUAGCAGUGAAAUGCGUAGAUAUCUGAAAGAACACCAGUGGCGAAGGCGGUCAGCUGGUCCGUUACUGACACUAAAGCACGAAAGCGUGGGUAGCAAACAGG
rnacentral:rRNA from 1 species